GUGGCUAACUCCUAUCGUCUGACUUUGCAGUUACUGCCCAAAUGUGGUUACCGAUCGGCGCCUGCUGCCCCUUUCAUUUCUUCAACGCCAUAUCAAGAAUCCGGGAGCCGUAUCAAGAAUCGAAAGCGCCCCCAACGUGACCUAUGUCACCAAGACGCUUCUACAAAACGCGCUAUCCAGGCACCGGAGGAUCAUUUGCUCAGCGGUGGUGGCGAGGGAAACAGUCGGCUCGUGACUAACUGCUAUCGUCUGACUUUGCAGUUACUGCCCAAAUGUGGUUACCGAUCGGCGCCUGCUGCCCCUUUCAUUUCUUCAACGCCAUAUCAAGAAUCCGGAAGCCGUAUCAAGAAUCGAAAGCGCCCCCAACGUGACCUAUGUCACCAAGACGCUUCUACAAAACGUGCUGUCCAGGCACCGGAGGACCAUUUGCUCAGCGGUGGUGGCGACGGAAACAGUCGGCUCAUGACUAACUACUAUCGUCUGACUUUGCAGUUACUGCCCAAAUGUGGUUACCAAUUGGCGCCUACUGCCCCUUUGACUUCUUCAACGCCAUAUCGAGAAUCCGGGAGCCGUAUCAAGAAUCGAAAGCGCCCCCAACGUGACCUAUGUCACCAAGACGCUUCUACAAAACGCGCUAUCCAGGCACCGGAGGAUGAUUUGCUCAGCGGUGGUGGCGAGGGAAACAGUCGGCUCGUGACUAACUGCUAUCGUCUUACUUUGCAGUUACUGCCCAAAUGUGGUUACCAAUUGGCGCCUACUGCCCCUUUGACUUCUUCAACGCCAUAUCGAGAAUCCGGGAGCCGUAUCAAGAAUCGAAAGCGCCCCCAACGUGACCUAUGUCACAAAGACGCUUCUACAAAAGGCGCUAUCCAGGCACCGGAGGACCAUUUGCUCAGCGGUGGUGGCGACGGAAACAGUCGGCUCAUGACUAACUCCUAUCGUCUGACUUUGCAGAGAAAAGAAGAGGGCGCCGACCUGGCAUCAACUCGCUGCGGCUUGCUCUGGUUUAAUCAAAGCUUCUUUGGACAUCAAGACACCACGGCUCCGGUGGUUGAGCCACGCGCAGCUGGUGCUGUUAACCAUGCGUGGCACACCACACUCAGUUACUCUAAAUACGUGCAGCAAUGUAUACAUACGGCGGAGCUAAUGACAGCUAACCAAAAGCUGAACGCGAGAAGCUGCUGCCGCUACACUGAAGGUCUUAAUUGACAAUGCUAAAAACCAAGCAACAAUCAAAUCCCAUAUGUACACUUCAUGCUAGUAAAAACUAGCCUUCACUGGCCCGAA